UGGGAACUGGGAAAGAAAAUGCAGUCAUCUUAAAGAGAUAUGUUUUCAGUGUUGUGGAGCUAGAGAUGAACAACUGAGCUGUAUAUCACUGGAUUGUCCUGUCAUGUUUAAACUAGAGAAGUUAAAAACAAAUAUGGAAUAUGGAAUGACAUUAAGAGACUUUCAAUAAACAAUUGAAGAAAGUUAUGGUCAGUCAGAGCACAAAUCUAAAGGGUUUUGGAGUUUCAGUAAUUUAUAAUGGAUCGUAAUGGAUCACCGUUUCGCUAUUCUGUCAAGGAUUGCCAUCUAAUACAGGUAUAAAUGUACAUAAAUGAUCACAAGAAAUAUUUUUUUGUUCAAUUGACUUAAUUUCUUUAGAUAUACUAAACAAUGUCAUUUCUAUUAUUCAUAAAAUAUUCUUUUGUUUUUGGAUCACUAACAUUGUUUCAUUGUAACUCAUUAUUUUCGAUAUCAACAGACACAUAAAUGCAAGCAAAAGAUUAAUUAAGCAUAGAGGGACAAACAACGAAGCAUGCAACGUAGAUAUCAAAAUAAGCCGAAUAACAAAUAGUGACUUUUAAACAACUUUCAUGUUAAUAAAAUAUUUUAUUUCUUCAAUUCAUUUACCGUUUCACCAGUUUGGUUGCUGACGCAUUCGACAAUUGUUUGUUUAAUGUGCUUAUAACAUUUUAAAUUUUCCUUUUAAUAAUUAUACAGGAUGUAUCAUUGAAACAUUCUUUAUACAAUGAUAAUUUGUAAGAAAUAGGCACUCGAUGAGUACGUAAGGAUUUGCUUUUUUAUGAUUGACAAUUACAAAAUACCAGUAUGAUUGAUAUAAUCUGACAAAAA